ACUCCUGCGGGAGGCAGCAGUGGGGAAUUUUGGACAAUGGGCGAAAGCCUGAUCCAGCAAUGCCGCGUGAGUGAAGAAGGCCUUCGGGUUGUAAAGCUCUUUUGUCAGGGAAGAAACGGUGAAAGCUAAUAUCUUCUGCUAAUGACGGUACAUGAAGAAUAAGCACCGGCUAACUACGUGCCAGCAGCCGCGGUAAUACGUAGGGUGCAAGCGUUAAUCGGAAUUACUGGGCGUAAAGCGUGCGCAGGCGGUUUUGUAAGUCUGAUGUGAAAUCCCCGGGCUCAACCUGGGAAUUGCAUUGGAGACUGCAAGGCUAGAAUCUGGCAGAGGGGGGUAGAAUUCCACGUGUAGCAGUGAAAUGCGUAGAUAUGUGGAGGAACACCGAUGGCGAAGGCAGCCCCCUGGGUCAAGAUUGACGCUCAUGCACGAAAGCGUGGGGAGCAAACAGGAUUAGAUACCCGUGUAGUCCCAUGAU
rnacentral:rRNA from 1 species